GACCCGACUGCUAUUUGGGUGAGAAUAAGCCAUGCGAGUCGAAUGGGAUACCUAAAUCUCCCAUGGCAAACUGCUCAGUAACACAUGAUCAACUUACCCUAUAGAGAAAAAUAACCUCGGGAAACUGAGGAUAAUGUUUCAUAGUUGAAUAGGCUUGGAAAAGUUUUUCAAUAAAAGGGAUAAGGAAAAUGGUCCUUAUCCGCUAUAGGAUAGGAUCGUGUUCGAUUAUGGUUGUUGGUGAGGUAACGGCUCACCAAGCCGAUAAUCGAUAGGGGCCGUGAGAGCGGGAGCCCCGAGAUGGGUACUGAGACAACGACCCAGGCCUUACGAGGCGCAGCAGGCGCGGAACCUCCGCAAUACACGAAAGUGUGACGGGGUUACCCAAAGUGCUCUUUCUAGAGCUGUGGUAGGUGAGUAAUAUUCCCUACUAGAAAGGAGAGGGCAAGGCUGGUGCCAGCCGCCGCGGUAAAACCAGCUCUUCAAGUGGUCGGGAUAAUUAUUGGGCUUAAAGUGUCCGUAGCCGGUUUAGAAAGUUCCUGGUAAAAUCGGGUAGCUUAACUAUCCGUAUGCUAGGAAUACUGCUAUACUAGAGGGCGGGAGAGGUCUGAGGUACUACAGGGGUAGGGGUGAAAUCUUAUAAUCCUUGUAGGACCACCAGUGGCGAAGGCGUCAGACUGGAACGCGCCUGACGGUGAGGGACGAAAGCCAGGGGAGCGAACCGGAUUAGAUACCCGGGUAGUCCUGGCCGUAAACGAUGCAUACUAGGUGAUGGUACGGCCAUGAGCCGUGUCAGUGCCGUANGGAAACCGUUAAGUGUGCCGCCUGGGAAGUACGGUCGCAAGGCUAAACUUAAA
rnacentral:rRNA from 1 species